CAGUAGCCGCGGGAAUACGAAGGGGGCUAGCGUUGUUCGGAAUUACUGGGCGUAAAGCGCACGUAGGCGGAUAUUUAAGUCAGGGGUGAAAUCCCAGAGCUCAACUCUGGAACUGCCUUUGAUACUGGGUAUCUUGAGUAUGGAAGAGGUGAGUGGAAUUCUGAGUGUAGAGGUGAAAUUCGUAGAUAUUCGGAGGAACACCAGUGGCGAAGGCGGCUCACUGGUCCAUUACUGACGCUGAGGUGCGAAAGCGUGGGGAGCAAACAGGAUUAGAUACCCGCGUAGUCCCUGUCUCUUAUAC
rnacentral:rRNA from 1 species